AACUUACAUGAGCACAUCCUUUGAUCCAACACUUCCUCUUCCAGAAAUUUUCCUGAGAAAAUAAGUGUGUACAGAGAUGUGCGUGCCAGCAGGUUUAUCAGAGCAUUAUUUAUAGCAGAGAAAUGACUGGAAACUAAGCUAAGAGGAGGCUAGUUCAGCCGACUAUGGUACAUCCAUAUAGUGCAAUGCCAUGCGAACGUUCAAAUGCAUGUGGUGGGGAAAGAGUCAUUGAUGUGCUAGAAAGCCCAUAAAUUAUCAUCAAGAGAUAAUUUCCAAUAUGCUGGUGUGUACUUCUGGCCAUUUUUAUACACGCACAUUUUUUUUCACAAAUGAACUACUAAUAUGCUGUUUUGUUGCUGUGCCUCAGCCCUCUUCCCCAAGGGCUGCAGGGAAGGCGAGGUCACAAAGGAACCAAGUGGGGUCAUUGAGAGUAGGGGCUGGGGGCUGUGAACUCCAAUGGUCCCACAAGGACCCAUGUUGUCACAUAGACCUCUAAUAAGUGGUGUUUAUCACGUGGACCCUUGGAGCUCAGCGUUGCAAACACAAGUCCGGGACAGGACACUGGGAGCAAAGAUUAAGAGUAUGUUGUCAACACAUGUGGCACCUGAAAUUGCAUCCCGUAGGCAAUACCAAGACACUUGGUUCAUCCACUGCCAUGCCCCCGGGGGACUGUGGCUGGACUGCUGGAGAAGCGUCUGCGGUGUUGACAGAGCAGAGAAAAAUUCUUAAAGUCCAUGGAACAUUCGGGAGCAGGUGCUAUCUUAGGGCUGGAAAACCAAUGAGUCCCCUCUCCACUGCAAAAUUCCCAUCAUGAAGAGUCAGAUUUUGGUUUCAAAACCAGCCCCCAAGAAACUACCCAAAGCCCCUGAGAAAUUGCGAGAAUUCUAAUUCCCUUCCUCCUGGCAGCUUUCUCUGAGUCACAUGCCCAAACGCCCCUCCCCCAGCACCCUCUGUCACUCCCUGCUCACCCACAGCAUCAGCCCAGACCCCACUGAGGAGCCUUUCUUGGGGACAACUUGCCCAGGAACUCUGACAUAUUCGUUUGCCUCCUCCUUGGUCAUAAGUAAAGUGUCUUGCACACAGUGGGUGCUUUAUGUGUAUUUGGUGAGUCGUUGAUUCAAAAUAAUAGAUGAUCCAUACCAGUAGAGGGAGAAAGAGACUGGAAACCAGCAGUUGCUGGAUUGGAGGAAAGAGUGAAGCCCCGUCCCCAGCCAAACCCUGAGUCUGAAACCCAGAGUCCUCCCUGGGAGGUGAGAGCCAUCACUAUCAAUUACUCAGACCAGGGCGUCAUUCAUUCAUUAAAACCUCCAAAACGGGAGUCGUGUUAAUGGCCGUGUACGGGGUUCUUUC
rnacentral:lncRNA from 1 species